rnacentral:rRNA from 1 species
GGGUACACGAGCGGCGAAGGGUGAGUAACACGUGGGUGAUCUGCCUCGCACUCUGGGAUAAGCCUGGGAAACUGGGUCUAAUACCGGAUAUGACCACGGAUCGCAUGGUUUGUGGUGGAAAGAUUUAUCGGUGCGAGAUGGGCCCGCGGCCUAUCAGCUUGUUGGUGGGGUAAUGGCCUACCAAGGCGACGACGGGUAGCCGACCUGAGAGGGUGACCGGCCACACUGGGACUGAGACACGGCCCAGACUCCUACGGGAGGCAGCAGUGGGGAAUAUUGCACAAUGGGCGAAAGCCUGAUGCAGCGACGCCGCGUGAGGGAUGACGGCCUUCGGGUUGUAAACCUCUUUCGACAGGGACGAAGCGCAAGUGACGGUACCUGUAGAAGAAGCACCGGCCAACUACGUGCCAGCAGCCGCGGUAAUACGUAGGGUGCGAGCGUUGUCCGGAAUUACUGGGCGUAAAGAGCUUGUAGGCGGUUCGUCGCGUCGAUUGUGAAAACUUGCAGCUCAACUGCAAGCUUGCAGUCGAUACGGGCGGACUAGAGUACUUCAGGGGAGACUGGAAUUCCUGGUGUAGCGGUGAAAUGCGCAGAUAUCAGGAGGAACACCGGUGGCGAAGGCGGGUCUCUGGGAAGUAACUGACGCUGAGAAGCGAAAGCGUGGGUAGCGAACAGGAUUAGAUACCCUGGUAGUCCACGCCGUAAACGGUGGGUACUAGGUGUGGGUUUCCUUCCACGGGAUCCGUGCCGUAGCUAACGCAUUAAGUACCCCGCCUGGGGAGUACGGCCGCAAGGCUAAAACUCACAGGAAUUGACGGGGGCCCGCACAAGCGGCGGAGCAUGUGGAUUAAUUCGAUGCAACGCGAAGAACCUUACCUGGGUUUGACAUACACCAGAAAGCCGUAGAGAUACGGCCCCCCUUGUGGUUGGUGUACAGGUGGUGCAUGGCUGUCGUCAGCUCGUGUCGUGAGAUGUUGGGUUAAGUCCCGCAACGAGCGCAACCCUUAUCUUAUGUUGCCAGCGCGUAAUGGCGGGGACUCGUGAGAGACUGCCGGGGUCAACUCGGAGGAAGGUGGGGACGACGUCAAGUCAUCAUGCCCCUUAUGUCCAGGGCUUCACACAUGCUACAAUGGCCGGUACAGAGGGCUGCGAUACCGUGAGGUGGAGCGAAUCCCUUAAAGCCGGUCUCAGUUCGGAUCGGGGUCUGCAACUCGACCCCGUGAAGUUGGAGUCGCUAGUAAUCGCAGAUCAGCAACGCUGCGGUGAAUACGUUCCCGGGCCUUGUACACACCGCCCGUCACGUCAUGAAAGUCGGUAACACC